rnacentral:misc_RNA from 1 species
AGAAUCUUCUAUCACAAAUUGAAUAUUGAACUUCAUAUCUUGCUUUUUUUUUUUUUUGCUAUCAGCGAUUGAAUGUCUUAUUCUACUUCUUCUGUCUGCCCCUUGCAUAAUUGACAAUUGUUUCGUCUAGGACAUUUGAUGGUGAACAAAUCAUCUUGACCUAGAAAAAUUUUAUUUUCCUCAUUGUAUGUAUAAUACAGCCGACCUGAACUAGUUAGAGACCAAGGUUUAGUUGGGCUGAGUUUUAUAAUAUAAAAAGUAAAACAUUUAAAAUUGUCAAUUCCCAAUAAUUUUGGAAGUACCAGGUGUACAUCUCCAGCUUGUUUGGCGCCCUCCUCCCCUCAUCUCCCUUUCACUCUUGUUCCUUUUGGGGUAAAUUUCCAAAGAAUUUCAAGAAUCAUGCAGUCAUUCUUGGUAUGAAUUCAAUAAUGGCCCACUUUUGAGUUCCCACAUUCAUU